rnacentral:misc_RNA from 1 species
GAAAUGCGAUACGUAGUGUGAAUUGCAGAAUUCAGUGAAUCAUCGAAUCUUUGAACGCACAUUGCGCCCUUUGGUAUUCCAAAGGGCAUGCCUGUUCGAGCGUCAUUUGUACCCUCAAGCUUUGCUUGGUGUUGGGCGUCUUUUGUCUUUGGCCUCGCCCAAAGACUCGCCUUAAAACGAUUGGCAGCCGGCCUACUGGUUUCGCAGCGCAGCACAUUUUUGCGCUUGCAAUCAGCACGAGGACGGCAAUCCAUCAAGACUACAUUUUUACGUUUGACCUCGGAUCAGGUAGGGAUACCCGCUGAACUUAAGC